GGAUGUCUGGGUGACCUGCCUAUUACAGCUGUCCCCACUGAUCCCUUGGAAUGGGUCACUUAAUCUGGCUGGAGGGACAGCUGCAGGAGUCCUCACGGCUCCAUGUGCACCUAUCUUGAGCUAGUCCCUUAAUUAAGGAGGGUAACAGUUCUUUAGCCAAAAAAGUGGGAGUUCUAUUUCUUUGGAGUUUAGCUCAAAAGUUGCUUUUCCAGUGAAAUCUUUCCUGAAGUUUCUUCUAUAACAGGAAACUGCAUUUAGUGAAUAUUUGUAGGUUC
ensembl:misc_RNA 7SK 7SK RNA